rnacentral:misc_RNA from 1 species
GAUGAAGAACGUAGCGAAACGCGAUAAGUAAUGUGAAUUGCAGAAUUCAGUGAAUCAUCGAAUCUUUGAACGCACAUUGCGCCCGCCAGCAUUCUGGCGGGCAUGCCUGUUCGAGCGUCAUUUCAACCCUCGACCUCCCCUUGGGGAGGUCGGCGUUGGGGACCGGCAGCACACCGCCGGCCCUGAAAUGGAGUGGCGGCCCGUCCGCGGCGACCUCUGCGCAGUAAUACAGCUCGCACCGGGACCCCGACGCGGCCACGCCGUAAAACACCCAACUUCUGAACGUUGACCUCGAAUCAGGUAGGACUACCCGCUGAACUUAAGCAUAUCAAUAAGCGGAGGA